GACAGGGAGGUGCAACGUUGUUCGGAAUUACUGGGCGUAAAGCGCGUGUAGGCGGCCCUGCAAGUCGGGUGUGAAAUCCCAUGGCUCAACCAUGGAAGUGCACUCGAAACUGCAGGGCUAGAGUCCUGGAGAGGAAGGUGGAAUGCUUGGUGUAGAGGUGAAAUUCGUAGAUAUCAAGCGGAACACCGGUGGCGAAGGCGGCCUUCUGGACGAGUCGACUGACGCUGAGACGCGAAAGCGGUGGGAGCGAACGAGG
rnacentral:rRNA from 1 species